ACCCGGGUUGAUAACUAGGUGAACGGUCUCAAUCACCCACGGCCUUUGCCCUUUAAGUAUCCGGGAGAUCAAACCGUCGAGGAACUUACACGGCUUCGGACUGCUCAAUGAUGUUUUGCUGUUUAUUUUCUCGCAACAUAC
rnacentral:snoRNA from 1 species